AGGAAGGCCUACAGCAGCAGGGUCUGGCUGUCCUCGUGCACGCUGUGUUGUGUAAGACUUGGCAGGCUGGACUAGAAUAACACCCUUAUUCUCUCUCUCAGAGCUCUGAACUCUUUCACCCUACAGCCCUGUCCUCCCCUCACUCAGCAACAGAAAGCAACAACAACUCAGAGGAGAGGUGCCCUCUCUCUCUCUUUCUCUCUCUCUCUGUCUAUUCCCCCUCUAUCUCUGCUUCCCUUGUGUCGCACUUUCUCUUUCACCUCUCUCCACCUACAUGCACGUCUCUCGUUCACUCGCCUCGUUCUCUUACCCACAGUGAGCGAGAAUGAACGCACACGGCUCUCACGCGCUGCUCUGCUCCGUGCCGCCUAUAUGUGCCCGUGCUGUGCCUGUUUCCCUACAGGCUUUGCAUUCUCUCGGCCGUCGGUCAGACUCGGCGCUGGAGUCUUGCAUUACUCACCUUUCUGCUGUACCUGUGGGUACUCCACAGUUCUGCUACCUGUUCGCCUCUCUGAAACUUUAUCACAAGCAUACUGGAGGAAAUGUGAGGAUCAAAGGAUGAGGGGGAGUUUUGGAAGGGGGAUUGGACAGGUGUGAGUGAGUGAAAAUAAGUGUGCACAAAUUUUCUUUGUGUCUGUCUGUGUGUAGGUGUAGCAAUCCAGCAUUUAUCAUGUGUUUUAAUCAUAAUUGUGUGGGCUUCUGUGGGCACGAGAGAGCAGUGCUUGCCAUAAAUCCGAACAAAGGGUGUGUACACAUGUUAAUCUGGCUAUCCCUGUUGAAAUUUGUGAAAGUUUUGUCUUUUUAACCCCUUAAAAAUGCUAGUAUUUUUUAUAUUAUUUAGAAUAAUCAGGAGCAGAAAUACAAGAUUUCCUUUAACUGCCGUGUUUGUUUUGGUAACUGACAUUACUUAAUGUAGUGACUAUACAGUAACUACUGGAGCAAAUCUGUACAGGAUUGUAAAAAAUAAGUUAACAAAACCUGUACAAUGUAAAAUACUGUAAAUAGGGCAUUUCAGCUCAUGUCCAUGCACUGAAUAUUUGUUUUUUAGCUGCAUGUUAUCAUAAAAAACAUAUAAAAAUCAUAUCUUUUGUACAUACCACAUUUGUUGUUUUCCAGCAUAAAAAAUAAAGAAAAUAAUCAGUAAGUUGUGC
rnacentral:lncRNA from 1 species